rnacentral:lncRNA from 1 species
UACCCACUUGAAUGAUAAAAGAUUUUUUGUUAGAUGAAAUCACAUAUUUUAUUUCCCCUUUUUGGAUGGCUUCAAAGUGCCAGUUCUUAUUGCACUUUCUCAUGUUAGUGCUCAAUGGAGGCUAUCAUCAUCUAUAGUAAAAGCACUUGCUGCAAAACAAAUCAGAUUUAGAAGAAAAUCUUUUCAACUGCUUACCAUCGUACCUACCCUAAGAAUGUCC